rnacentral:rRNA from 1 species
UACGAAGGGGGCUAGCGUUGCUCGGAAUGACUGGGCGUAAAGGGCGCGUAGGCGGAUGGUACAGUCAGAUGUGAAAUUCCCGGGCUUAACCUGGGGGCUGCAUUGAUACGUAUUGUCUUGAGUUCGGAAGAGGGUCGUGGAAUUUCCAGUGUAGAGGUGAAAUUCGUAGAUAUUGGAAAGAACACCGGUGGCGAAGGCGGCGACCUGGUCCGACACUGACGCUGAGGCGCGAAAGCCAGGGAGCGAACGGG